rnacentral:lncRNA from 1 species
AUAAAAAAAAAUAUUUAUAUAAAAAACCCUCCAAAAAUAAAAGACUUAAAAAUGGAUCAAGUGUUUUAAAAUUAUAAAUAAAUAUUUUAAAGUGCUAUUAUUAAUAUAAAAACCUUUUUUCUCUAUAUUAUUCAACAGGAUACCUCAUCACUCCACUCAGGAUAAACUACUGGAUACCUCUAUACCUUAUCUCAUCAAAACAUUAAUAAAUAAAAAAAUGAGAUGAAACUCACAGAAACCUGAUAAGAAACCAUACAAAACUUAUAAAACUUAAUCUAAAAAAGAACAAAAUCAAUUUCGAAGCAAAAUGUGAUAAAUUCCCUUUUUUAACAAAAAAAAUAUUUAAUUAUAAGGAAAACUUACUAAACAACAAUGUAUGUCAAAUGCAACAUACAAAACCUUAAAAGCAGUUUAAGAAAAACGCCAUUUUAUAAGAUGAAAAACCAAAAAAAAUCAAUUUAAUUAUAUUUAGAAAAGCAAGGAUAUGAAAAACAAACAAAACUCAAAGAAAAGCAUACAAGUUAUAACUCAACUUUAAGGAUAAAAAAGAGAACAAUUUUCUAAAGAUAAUUUAAAAUCUAAAUAUGCUCUUAGAAAGCGUUUAAAAGCUAUAAAUUCAAGUUUACUCUUAGUUUUUUAAGGAGUAAAUUUAGCUAAAGAGUUUAAAAUAAGCAAAAUAAACAGGAGAAAUUUAAGGCGAAUUAUAGAAAAACAGGAGAAAUUGUAUAAGAAAUUUCUAAACAAAAAGAUAAAUUUAUCUAAAAUUAAAUAAAACACACAACAACAUCAACCCCUGCAAAAAUGACAACAGCAACAGCAGCAGCAGCAGCAGUAACAGCAGCAUAAGCAGCCACAAAAAAGCUUAAAGUUAUAACUCAACUUAUUUAGCUCAAACUUAUAACUCAACUCAUUUAGAGCAUAUUUACCAACCACCCCAACAACAAAAAAACAUCAUUAGCAGCAUCAAGAACAUCAUCAACAUUAACAACAACAUCAUCAACAACAUCAUUAUGCUUUGCCUUUUAACACCCCUUCAAACGAAAGCGAAUUUUGUGUGUAAGGAUUUGAAAAAAAAAAGGAUUCUAUUUUUCUGUUUACUCUUGCAUUCCUUUUCCUCUUCUACCAACGAGCAAAUGAUUCCAAAAUGAUGCUCUUUGCUUUAUUUAUAAGGAUUUAUAAGGUAUAAAUGGUUGUUGCUUGAAUGUAUAAAUGAAUGAAUGUUAACUUCUUUUAGUAUUUGUUUGUAUGUUUUUAUAUGUAUUUUUUCUCUCCCUAUCUUACUGGUAAUUUGUUUGAAAACAGUAAAAAAAACGUUAUUUUUAUAAAAGAAAUUUUUCUAAGAUGGUGGUUUUUUUUUCAAGGACCAAAAAAAAACUCUUUAAAACUCUUUCCCUUAUAACUUCAAAAAACAAAAGCCCUUAAUUUUUUUUCUUAUUACAAAUUACUUUUAAAGGGCAAAUUAUCAAAAUAAAGCCUUUUGGAUUUUGUGCUUUUUUUUCUAUACUUUGCCUGAGCCUUUAAGCAAAAUCAUUUCUUUUUUUGCAAAAUUCCAACAACAAUUGGCAAAAAAAAAUUAAUUAGUAAAAAUUUGUAAAAAAAAAAACAAGAAAACAAAAAGCAAAUGAUUGUUUAUAAUGAUGCUAAGGACUUUUGAGGACUUUAAGGUUGAGGGGAAAAAUUUUAGCAGGAGUUUCAUUUCUAACGUUUUCUUUCCCUUUUAAUAACUCGCAAGCAAAAGCAAAUCUAAUAAUAAUUUCUUGUAUAAACUCUUUUAAAGGCCAAAUGAUUUUUCUUAGCAAAAUGAGGUCUGGAUUUCAAUGGGUCCCAACUUAAAGCUUUUUUUCUAAAGUAUUUUUCAAAGGAAAAUAACAAGAUGAUUAUGAGCAAAUGAUUUGUAGUAAUGAUGCUCUUUGCUUUUGAGGAUUUAAAAAGAGAUUUUGGGAAAGUUUAUUUUUAAAUUGGGAAUGAAAUUAAAAAAAAAUAAGCAAAAAUAUGGUUCAAGGAAUAAUCCCAUUCACAAACAUUGUUGUAACGUUGUAUGUCGUAAUAUCUUUUCUAAGUCCUUAACUUUAAAAUUAAACUUUUCUUAGUAAAAACAAUUUUUCCUAAUUACUCUUUAAAAAUUUAACAUUUGCCCCACUCACUAUCCUUGUUGUAGUGUUGUAAUGUUAAAUGUCGUAUUUUCUUUACUCAGUUACAAUUUAAUAUAUUCUAAAAAAAAGUAUGAAAACUUUUAUAUUAAUACAAUUCUAAAUCGUUGUUGUAGUGUUGUAACGUUGUAUGCUUUAUAAUAAAAUGUAAAAAAACAGUAACAUUGAUACAAUUCUCUGUCGAUGUUCUAGCGUUGUUACGUUGUAUUUCGUAAUAUCUUUUCUCAGUCAACAUUUAAUUGAAAUUGGAAAUAUUCUUUAGAAAAAAGUGUGAAAACAGAAACAUUUAUCCUAUUCACAAUCGUUGUUGUAACGUUAUAACUUUGUAUGUCGUAUUUUUUUCCCAGUCAAAUCUGAAACAGUUUUCCGUACAAAAAACUGAAUCCAAAUUGAAAAUAUUUUUAAAGAAAAGUGUGAAAACAAUAACAUUUAUCCAAUACACAAUCGUUGUUGUAGCGUUGUAAUUUUAAAUGUCGUAUUUUCUUUUUCCAGCUAAAUCUAAAACAGUUUUCUAUACAAAAAAUUGAAUCCAAAUUGGAAAUAUUCUUAAAAAAUAUGCUAAAAAAGUAACAUUGAUUCAAUAGAUGUUAUAGUGUUAUAACGUUGUAUAUGGUAUUUUCUUUUCCCAGCCAAAUCUAAAACAGUUUUCCGUACAAAAAAUUUUAUCCAAAUUGAAAAUAUUCUUUAAAUAAAAAAGGUGUGAAAACAGUAACAUUUAUCCAAUUCACAAUCGUUGUUAUAGCGUUGUAACGUUGUAUGUGGUGUUUUCUUUUCCCAGUCAAAUCUAAAAUUUUUUUCAGUAAAAAAAAGUUGUAAACCAAAUUGGAAAUAUUCUAUAAAAAAAAGUGUUAAAUCAGUUACAUUUAUCCUUUUCACAAUAGAUGUUAUAGCGUUGCAACUUUGUAUGUCGUAUUUUCUUUUCCCAGUCAAAUCUAAAACUUUUUUCAGCCAAAAAAAAAAUUGUAAACAAAAUUGAAAAUAUUCUAUAAAAAUGUGUGAAAACAGUUACAUUGAUGCAAUUUACAAUCGAUAUUGUAGCGUUGUUCGUUUAUUCAGUCAAAACUUUAAAAUUAAACUUUUCUCUGUAAAAAAAAAAUAAAUCUCAAUCGAUGUAGCGUUAUAUGUCGUAAUUUCUUUUAUCAGCCAAAAUUGAAAUAAAAUUAAAAAAUAUUUCCUGGAAAAAGAAGGUGGAGUCAGUAACAUUGAUCCAUUUCACUAUCAAUGUAGAAGAGUGGUAAAGUUGUUUACAAUCAUUUAAGAAGUGUUGUAACGUUGUAUGUGGUAUUUUAUCAGCUAAAACUUUAAAAUUAAACUUUUAUUAGUAAAAAAUUUGAAUCCGAAUUGGAAUUAUUUUAUAAAAAUUGUGAAAGCAAUGACCACUCAUAGUCGAUGUUGUAGCGUCGUAAUUUUAUCAACUUUUAUCGGCCAAAAUUUAAAUAAAAUUGAAAAAUAUUUCUCGAAAAUAAGGUGGAAUCAGUAAAAUUUAUCCAUUUUAAAAUCGUUAUAGAAGCGUUGUAAUAUUUUAUAUUGUAUUUUCUUUAAAACAGUUUCUUUUCAAACCAAAAUACAACAAAAAUAUAAUAAUAAAAUGACAAUCUACAACGAUACAACAUAAUGAUGUCGAUUGUGAAUUAAAGAAAUAGUUAUAUUGACAUCACUAAAUAUUUCUUCCAACCUAAGAUAAUAAUGAAAAAAAUAAAAAUGCCCCAAUAAGAAUCAAAGAAAUAUAUUUAUCUUUUUAUAUUCGACAGUUUAACUUCAUUGAGUUCUAUGAAUCAUUACAGCCUUAAACUAUGUCAGAAGUUUGUCAACAUUAUCAGAUAUCAGAUGUUAAUUUGUUCUAUCAUAACGUUUCUAUAAACCAAAAUUCCAUUUUAUAUUCAGACAACAAAAUAUUUCUUGUUUAAAGUAGAAAAUGGUCCUUCGGUCUUGGUCCUUUACUAAAAAUCAAAAUUCCAUUUUAUAUUCAGACAAAAAAAAUAUUUUCAACAUUUUUUUUCUGUUUAAAAUCGAAAUGGUCCUUCGAUCUUGUUAUAUAAAACUAUAAAACAUAUGUUAAAAAAAAUGUCAGUUAACUUGUUUUCAUCAUAAUGUAACUAUUAAGCAAAAUUCAAGUUUAUGUUAAGAUAACAAAAUAUUUUCAAUGCUUUCCAGUUUAAAGUAGAAAAUGGUAUUUCGGUCUUGUUGUAUAAAGUGAUCCACACUCUUAGAUAUAUUUGAAACAAAAUGAAAUAAAAACUUUAACCUUUUAAGGGAAUCUGUUUAGAAUCGAAACCAACUAUUUAGAGCAUUUCUUUAAAAAUAACCUAAAUUUAUCAAAAAAAAUAUAUUUAAAACAUAGUUGCCAACUCAAAUUUCUGCUUAUUUUAUAAACAAAACAAUGAUAAUAUUUUCAAAAAACUAUAUGUUUGAAAAGUCCUUUAAAAAGUUAAUUAUUUAAAUGUUUUUAUAUUUCUAUAAGUUUUACAAAUGACAAAAAUCGUUUAAUUGGCAACUCGAAAUAAAAUAUUUAUUGCUUUAAAUCACAUUAAAAAUCCAAUUCCAGAACUCUUAAGAAAAUUUCACUCGAAAUAAAAUCUUUUAAAAUGAAACACAAAAUUCAUUGAUAUAAAUUUGUAAUAAAACUUGUCAAAUAUAUAAAAAAAGUUUAAUUGCAAAAUAUU